UACGGAGGGUGCAAGCGUUAUCUGGAUUCACUGGGUUUAAAGGGUGCGUAGGUGGGUAUGUAAGUCAGUGGUGAAAUCCCCGAGCUUAACUUGGGAACUGCCGUUGAUACUAUAUAUCUUGAAUAUCGCGUAGGUAAGCGGAAUAUGUCAUGUAGCGGUGAAAUGCUUAGAUAUGACAUAGAACACCAAUUGCGAAGGCAGCUUACUUCACGAUUAUUGACACUGAGGCACGAAAGCGUGGGGAGCAAACAGG
rnacentral:rRNA from 1 species